UAGAGUUUGAUCCUGGCUCAGAGCGAACGCUGGCGGCAGGCUUAACACAUGCAAGUCGAACGGGCGUAGCAAUACGUCAGUGGCAGACGGGUGAGUAACACGUGGGAACGUACCUUUUGGUUCGGAACAACUGAGGGAAACUUCAGCUAAUACCGGAUAAGCCCUAACGGGGAAAGAUUUAUCGCCGAAAGAUCGGCCCGCGUCUGAUUAGCUAGUUGGUGGGGUAAUGGCCCACCAAGGCGACGAUCAGUAGCUGGUCUGAGAGGAUGAUCAGCCACAUUGGGACUGAGACACGGCCCAAACUCCUACGGGAGGCAGCAGUGGGGAAUAUUGGACAAUGGGGGCAACCCUGAUCCAGCCAUGCCGCGUGAGUGAUGAAGGCCCUAGGGUUGUAAAGCUCUUUUGUGCGGGAAGAUAAUGACGGUACCGCAAGAAUAAGCCCCGGCUAACUUCGUGCCAGCAGCCGCGGUAAUACGAAGGGGGCUAGCGUUGCUCGGAAUCACUGGGCGUAAAGGGUGCGUAGGCGGGUCUUUAAGUCAGGGGUGAAAUCCUGGAGCUCAACUCCAGAACUGCCUUUGAUACUGAAGAUCUUGAGUAUGGGAGAGGUGAGUGGAACUGCGAG
rnacentral:rRNA from 1 species